GAGAGCAUAGUACGAUGAAAGUUGUAAGUUGUGUUCGGGGGGAGUUAUUCUCUAUCAUUGGUCUCUAUAGUAGAAUCAGUCGGGGCCUGAGAGGCGGUGGUUUACCCUGU
rfam:Lupinus angustifolius cultivar Tanjil chromosome LG06, whole genome shotgun sequence.